rnacentral:rRNA from 1 species
UACGAAGGGGGCUAGCGUUGCUCGGAAUUACUGGGCGUAAAGCGCACGUAGGCGGCUUUUUAAGUCGGGGGUGAAAUCCUGGAGCUCAACUCCAGAACUGCCUUUGAUACUGAAGAUCUUGAGUUCGGGAGAGGUGAGUGGAACUGCGAGUGUAGAGGUGAAAUUCGUAGAUAUUCGCAAGAACACCAGUGGCGAAGGCGGCUCACUGGCCCGAUACUGACGCUGAGGCACGAAAGCGUGGGGAGCAAACAGG